rnacentral:misc_RNA from 1 species
AUGACACUGAAGAAUGAUAACCGUAUGGAAGAGGAGGGCCUGUAUAUGGAACACAACUUAUGGGGGCCACAUUAAGUGGUUCAGAAUGCAGCGGAGCUGAACCAUUAUUGUCACCAUAAUUCGGCAAAGAAGUCUGAGAAGCUCUCCAAGGAGAUUCCAUCAGAAAGUUGUUGGAAGAAAAGAAUUAGAGAAAUUCAACAGUGAGGUAGAUUCCGG